UACGUAGGGUGCAAGCGUUGUCCGGAAUUAUUGGGCGUAAAGAGCUCGUAGGCGGUCUGUCGCGUCGGAUGUGAAAAUCCAGGGCUCAACCCUGGACCUGCAUUCGAUACGGGCAGACUAGAGUUCGGCAGGGGAGACUGGAAUUCCUGGUGUAGCGGUGAAAUGCGCAGAUAUCAGGAGGAACACCAGCGGCGAAGGCGGCGCUCUGGGCCGGUACUGACACUGAGGAGCGAAAGCGUGGGUAGCAAACAGG
rnacentral:rRNA from 1 species